rnacentral:miRNA from 12 species
CACUUCAGGAAGUGCCAUCCAUG